AUUGAACGCUGGCGGCAGGCCUAACACAUGCAAGUCGAGCGAGCGGCGGACGGGUGAGUAAUGUAUGGGGAUCUGCCUGAUGGAGGGGGAUAACUACUGGAAACGGUAGCUAAUACCGCAUACUAUCGGAUGUGCCCAGAUGGGAUUAGCUAGUAGGUGGGGUAAAGGCUCACCUAGGCGACGAUCCCUAGCUGGUCUGAGAGGAUGACCAGCCACACUGGGACUGAGACACGGUCCAGACGCCUACGGGAGGCAGCAGUGGGGAAUAUUGCACAAUGGGCGCAAGCCUGAUGCAGCAAUGCCGCGUGUAUGAAGAAGGCCUUAGGGUUGUAAAGUACUUUCAGCGGGGAGGCGUUACCCGCAGAAGAAGCACCGGCUAACUCCGUGCCAGCAGCCGCGAUAAUAC
rnacentral:rRNA from 1 species